rnacentral:rRNA from 1 species
AACGAACGCUGGCGGCGCGCCUAAUACAUGCAAGUCGAGCGAGAAGACGUAGCAAUACGUUUGUAAAGCGGCGAACGGGUGAGGAAUACAUGGGUAACCUACCCUCGAGUGGGGAAUAACUAGCCGAAAGGUUAGCUAAUACCGCGUACGCUCCUUGGACUUCGGUUCAGGGAGGAAAGCGAUACCGUGGGUAUCGCGCUCUUGGAUGGGCUCAUGUCCUAUCAGCUUGUUGGUGAGGAACGGCUCACCAAGGCUUCGACGGGUAGCUGGUCUGAGAGGACGAUCAGCCACACUGGCACUGCGACACGGGCCAGACUCCUACGGGAGGCAGCAGUAAGGAAUAUUGCGCAAAUGGGCGAAAGCCUGACGCAGCGACGCCGCGUGGGGGA